CCUACGGGCGGCUGCAGUGGGGAAUAUUGGACAAUGGGCGAAAGCCUGAUCCAGCCAUGCCGCGUGUGUGAAGAAGGCCUUCGGGUUGUAAAGCACUUUCAGUGGGGAAGAAAGCCUUGGGGCUAAUACCCUCGAGGAAGGACAUCACCCACAGAAGAAGCACCGGCUAACUCCGUGCCAGCAGCCGCGGUAAUACGGAGGGUGCGAGCGUUAAUCGGAAUUACUGGGCGUAAAGCGCGCGUAGGCGGUCUGAUAAGCCGGUUGUGAAAGCCCCGGGCUCAACCUGGGAACGGCAUCCGGAACUGUCAGGCUAGAGUGCAGGAGAGGAAGGUAGAAUUCCCGGUGUAGCGGUGAAAUGCGUAGAGAUCGGGAGGAAUACCAGUGGCGAAGGCGGCCUUCUGGACUGACACUGACGCUGAGGUGCGAAAGCGUGGGUAGCAAACAGGAUUAGAUACCCGAGUAG
rnacentral:rRNA from 1 species